AGCAUUCUUGGUGCUGUGUUACCA
rnacentral:siRNA from 1 species